UUGCGACUGUGUAAAUGUUUCCCAGCAUUCCACACUUCUAUAUAAUGACGUCAAACAGGAAGUAAGUUCAUUUGUGUGUGAGUCGUGUGUGUGAGGUGAGUGUUCGACUGCGUUUGUAUGUUUUGUGUUUAUGUUUAAAAAAAAUCUACACCGUGAUCUUAUUUGAUCUGAUCCUUGUUGCCCUGCUCGGAUUCAGAGAUGAUAGUAACCGACUCGCGAGCUCCUGUAGCGAUGAUCGUGAGGCAUUUUCACAUAACUCGGGGCAACUGCAGUUCAAGCUGUGGUGAGAAGUGAUGAAUCUGAUCAGAUAUACAAGAGCAGACUGGUUAUUGGGUUUUUACCCAGUGAUUUCUGUUUGUUCAGUGAGUAUAUAAGCGAUCCUGAUCUCA